rnacentral:sRNA from 1 species
GCGUUGUUGGCCCGGUUGUUCUGGAGCCGGGUCUCCGGUCUGGUGGCUGCCCGCCCUCCAGCAUCUCGCCAUGGGGAGCACGGAGAGUAGCGAGGGCCGUAGGGUGUCCUUUGGAGUGGACGAGGAGGAGCGGGUCCGGGUGCUGCAGGGUGUCCGGCUGUCUGAAAACGUGGUGAACCGCAUGAAGGAGCCCAGCUCUCCACCCACUGCUCCUGCACCUUCUACCUUUGGCCUUCAAGAUGGCAACUUGAGAGCCCCUCACAAAGAAUCCACACUGCCCAGGUCGGGGAGCAGUGGUGGCCAGCAGCCCUCAGGGACGAAGAAGGGUGUCAAGAGGUAUGAACAGGAGCAUGCUGCUGUCCAGGAUAAGCUCUUCCAGGUGGCAAAGAGGGAAAGAGAGGCUGCCACCAAGCACUCCAAGACAUCCCUGCCCAUAGGCGAAGGCAGCAUCAGCCAUGAAGAGCAGAAGUCAGUCCGGCUGGCCAGGGAGCUGGAGAGCAAAGAGGCAGAGCUAAGACGCCGUGACACCUUCUACAAGGAGCAGCUGGAGCGUAUUGAGAGGAAGAAUGCUGAGAUGUAUAAACUGUCUUCACAGCAAUUCCAUGAGGCAGCCUCAAAGAUGGAGAGCACAAUAAAGGUUUACUUGUGAGCACGAAUCACCUGCCAUCUCCGGCUACCUGGGAUGCUCAGCCAGUGCCUUUGGAAACAUUUCU